rnacentral:rRNA from 1 species
AACGCGAAGAACCUUACCUGACCUUGACAUCCCUCUGACAGACCCGUAAUGGGGUUUUACCUUCGGGACAGAGGAGACAGGUGGUGCGUGGUUGUCGUCAGCUCGUGUCGUGAGAUGUUGAGUUAAGUCCCGCAACGAGCGCAACCCUUAUCCUUAGUAGCCAGCAGGUAGAGCUGGGCACUCUAGGGAGACUGCCGGGGAUAACCCGGAGGAAGGUGGGGAUGACGUCAAAUCAUCAUGCCCCUUAUGGCCAGGGCUACACACGUGCUACAAUGACGUAAACAAAGGGAAGCGACCUCGUGAGAGUAAGCAAAUCCCAAAAAUAACGUCUCAGUUCGGAUUGUAGUCUGCAACUCGACUACAUGAAGCUGGAAUCGCUAGUAAUCGCGAAUCAGAAUGUCGCGGUGAAUACGUUCCCGGGUCUUGUACACACCG